ACUUCGUAAUGUGUGUUUCUACUGUCAAAUUUUUUCCAAACUUUUAUUUUUGUUUUCUAAAAUCAAUUUGCCUGCGGGCGCCAACACCUCCCUUCAAUUUUUUUUUUAUGAUUUUAACUCUAGCCAAAUUUUUUAAACAUUAACAAUCUGGUACCCUUUGAAUAAUUCUUUAAUGAACUAAAUAUUUUGAAUAGUUUUUUCUGUUUAAGAUUUUGGAGAUUUUAGUUUGAUGUUUGUAAUGUGUAAUCCAACAAUAUAAUUUAUAUACAUUUUUUUUUGUAUUCUAAAAUGCAUUUGCCGGCGGGCGCCAACACCUUCCUUCAAUUUUUUUUUAUAAUUUUAACUCUAGCCGAAUUUUUUAAACAUUUUUAGUACUGUAACUUUAGUUGAAUAUUUUGUAUUGACUUGAAAAUUGAUAAUUUGGUGCCCCAUGAAUAAUCAUUCUUUAAUGAACUAAAUAUUUUGAAUAGUUUUUUCUGUUUAAGUUUCGGGACAUUUUAGUUUGAACUUCGUAAUAAUUUUCAAAUUUUAUAGAAUUGAGGAAAAUUUGAAAAACCGGUACUGGUUCCGUUAAGGUAUAAUUAAAUUAAUCCAACUGUGAUAUUUAAAUUAAUGUUAAAGAUAUAUUUAAGGUAUUAGUGUUUUAAAACAGUCAGUACUCAUCACUUUAGUCACAAUGUGGUAAAUCCUAGUUUUUGCACUUUUCGGAACGUUAUUGACUUAGUGACAAAAUAGUGAUAAAAGUUGAAAAUCAAAAUUAUAUUUUAAUACUACAUUAAAAACCGAACAGGAAUUUAACAAGUAAUAACUAAUAACGAAUAUCUUUAAUGUUCUAUUGUCAAUCAAGGAUGAAAAAAAUAUAUAUAAAUUUCAUUAGGUAGAAAAUGAGUAUGGAAGUUUUUAUGCCUUCGAUUCUGGGUAUAAAUUAUGGAUACGUGAUUUAUUUAGGAGUUAUAUAGAAAAUAAGGCUGCGCUUUUUACAAUU